rnacentral:rRNA from 1 species
CGGUAGCACGGGGGAGCUUGCUCCCUGGGUGACGAGCGGCGGACGGGUGAGUAAUGUCUGGGAAACUGCCUGAUGGAGGGGGAUAACUACUGGAAACGGUAGCUAAUACCGCAUAACGUCGCAAGACCAAAGAGGGGGACCUUCGGGCCUCUUGCCAUCAGAUGUGCCCAGAUGGGAUUAGCUAGUAGGUGGGGUAAUGGCUCACCUAGGCGACGAUCCCUAGCUGGUCUGAGAGGAUGACCAGCCACACUGGAACUGAGACACGGUCCAGACUCCUACGGGAGGCAGCAGUGGGGAAUAUUGCACAAUGGGCGCAAGCCUGAUGCAGCCAUGCCGCGUGUGUGAAGAAGGCCUUCGGGUUGUAAAGCACUUUCAGCGAGGAGGAAGGUGGUGAGCUUAAUACGCUCAUCAAUUGACGUUACUCGCAGAAGAAGCACCGGCUAACUCCGUGCCAGCAGCCGCGGUAAUACGGAGGGUGCAAGCGUUAAUCGGAAUUACUGGGCGUAAAGCGCACGCAGGCGGUUUGUUAAGUCAGAUGUGAAAUCCCCGGGCUCAACCUGGGAACUGCAUUUGAAACUGGCAAGCUAGAGUCUCGUAGAGGGGGGUAGAAUUCCAGGUGUAGCGGUGAAAUGCGUAGAGAUCUGGAGGAAUACCGGUGGCGAAGGCGGCCCCCUGGACGAAGACU